UACGUAGGUGGCGAGCGUUGUCCGGAAUUACUGGGCGUAAAGGGCGUGUAGGCGGCUUUUUAAGUCAGACGUGAAAUCCCUGGGCUUAACCCAGGACCUGCGUUUGAAACUGGAAGGCUUGAGGACCGGAGAGGGCAGUGGAAUUCCCAGUGUAGCGGUGAAAUGCGUAGAUAUUGGGAGGAACACCAGUGGCGAAGGCGACUGCCUGGACGGCACCUGACGCUGAGGCGCGAAAGCCAGGGGAGCAAACGGG
rnacentral:rRNA from 1 species